UGGUGACGAGACGAGACGGGAGAAGAGGAGAGGCGAGGCGAGGCCGCCCCGGUGCAGCAUCCAGAAUAGUGGUGUCAUCAGAGACCUGUGCAUUCCUCUUACAGAGGCAUGAUAUCCCAAAAAUAGUGUCCCUGGACCUGGGUGAUGAGGACCUACGAUAUUUGCCUUCAAAGGAUAGAGUUUUGUGGGGGAAAACCAAAAUGAACCCUUUCUUUUUUCUGGGUUUUGGACAUUCUCAUCUAGUCUACUUCUGGAAUAGAAGUCUACCUUUCAACUCAACAAAUGAGACAUACUGCUACAGCACUGCCCAGGGCAGCACGGUGCUCCAAGGAGUAACUUUUGGUGGAAUCCCAACUGUCCUGCUGCUUGAUGUAACCUUCUUUUUUAUUUUAAUAUUACUGUUUUCCAUUAUAAGAAAGAGAUUCUGGGACUACGGUCGUGUUGCUCUGGUGUCAGAAGCUGAAAGUGAAUCAAGAUACAACCGAUUGUCAACAUCUUCGUCAGUACCUGAAGAUCUUGAAUAUGAUAGGGGGUUUUGUUCUUGGGUGACAGCUGCUUUUCGCAUGCAUGAUGACGAGAUUCAUGAGAGAUGUGGUGAAGAUGCCAUACAUUACCUUGCCUUCCAGCGUCACAUCAUCUGUUUGUUGAUUGCUGUCAGCAUUUUGUCUGUGUGUGUCAUAUUGCCUGUCAACCUAUCAGGUGAUCUACUUGAUAAAGAUCCCUAUAGUUUUGGAAGAACAACUAUAGUAAACUUGCAAACUGGUAAUAAUCUUCUUUGGCUGCACACCAUUUUUGCUGUUGUUUACCUGAUUCUAACUGUUGUCUUCAUGAGACAUCACAUGAAGUAUGUCACAUAUAAAGAAGAAAACAUAGUUAAGUGCACAUUGUUUAUAACUGGUCUUCCAAAAAAUGCAAAAGAAGAGACGAUACAAGGCCAUUUCACAACUGCCUACCCAACCUGCACUGUGCUGGAGGUCCAGCUGUGUUAUGAUGUAGCCAAACUUAUUCAUCUCUUCAAAAAAAGAAAACAGGCAGAAAAAAGCCUGACUUACUAUGAACACCUGCAUCAGAAGUAUGGCAAGCGGGUCCAAAUCAACCCUAAGCCAUGUGGUCAGUUCUGCUGUUGUGAAAUGAGAGGAUGUGAAAGGGAGGAUGCUGUAGAUUAUUAUACCAAAGUUAGAAAUGAACUGAUGGAAGAAUAUUCAAAAGAGGAACAAGCUGUUCAUAAUAACCCACUGGGAAUGGCUUUUGUAACAUUUCAAGAGAAAUCCAUGGCAACCUAUAUCCUUAAGGACUUCAAUGCCUGCAAAUGUCAGAGUAUUAAGUGUAAAGGAGAACCCCAGCCAUCGUCCUACAGUAGGGAGCUAUGUGUAUCAAACUGGGAGGUUACAUAUGCUCCUUAUCCUGAGAAUAUUUGUUGGAAAAAUCUUUCAGUGCGUGGACUGAAAUGGUGGUUUAGAUGGGCUUGCAUUAAUUUGCUUCUUUUUAUUGUACUGUUUUUUCUUACUACUCCUUCCAUAAUCAUCUCAACCAUGGACAAGUUCAAUGUCACUAAACCUAUUCACUACCUUAAUAAUCCCAUCAUCAGUCAGUUUUUCCCAACGCUCUUACUCUGGUCCUUCUCAGCUUUGCUACCAACAAUUGUAUAUUACUCAACUUUGCUGGAGUCCCACUGGACAAAAUCUGCAGAGAACAGAAUAAUGAUGCAUAAAGUCUACAUAUUUUUGAUCUUCAUGGUAUUGAUUCUGCCCUCCCUUGGUCUGACCAGCCUUGAUUUUUUUUUCCGUUGGCUGUUUGACAGAGAAUCAUCUGAUUCUGCAGUUAGGCUGGAAUGUGUCUUUUUGCCUGACCAGGGAGCCUUCUUUGUGAACUACGUGAUUGCCUCUGCUUUUGUUGGCAAUGGGAUGGAGUUGCUGCGCCUGCCUGGGCUCAUCCUUUACACCAUACGCAUGAUAAUGGCCAAGUCCACAGCAGAAAGGAAAAAUAUUAAACAGCAACAAGCAUUUGAAUAUGAAUUUGGAGCAAUGUAUGCCUGGAUGUUGUGUGUGUUCACUGUCAUCAUGGCCUAUAGCAUUACGUGUCCCAUCAUUGUUCCAUUUGGUUUAAUAUACAUACUCCUGAAGCACAUGGUUGACCGUUAUAACCUUUACUAUGCAUAUCUCCCUGCCAAGCUAGAGAAGAAGAUGCACUUUGCGGCUGUGAAUCAGGCCCUUGCAGCUCCAAUUCUCUGCCUUUUUUGGCUCUAUUUUUUCUCAUUUUUGCGGCUAGGCUUUAAAGCACCUACAACCAUGUUUACUUUCCUCGUUGUCAACAUCACAAUUAUCAUUUGCUUGGCUUAUACUUGUUUUGGCUGUUUCAAGUACCUGAGCCCACUGAAUUAUAAGAUAGAAGACGCGCAAGGUGAAAGAGGAAACGACACAGAUGUACCAGCCAUCCCAACAUCUUCUAUGUACGUCCCCCGAGUUUUGCAUCCUCAUUGUACAGAAAGGACGAUACUUGCCCAUAAGGAGCAACAAUCGUAUGGCACCAUGGACAACACUUGUUCACAGGCAGAAGGAAUCAUAAACUAUUCUGCUGGACCUGCAAUUACUGAGCAGGCACCGAGAGUGUCUUGCAGGACUGCUUCCCGAGACCAGCACUCUGGACAAAUGCUGAGUAGGAGACCUGCCCUGCUGCAAGAAGGACACUGCAGAGCUUUGAUAACCCUGAUGACAAGCCGUGUCUGUUAGUUGAAGGUCUCCCUGGUGACUGAGCCUGGGUGAGCUGCUGUAACAUAAGAUCACAAAACAGAAUCCCGAUGUGCAUCCUUUCAUCAAGGCUGGGCCCCUUCAAGCAGAUCUGCUCCAGAAGGGAGAGUGAAACUGCUUCGAGCCUUCUACUCACAUCUGAAAAUCGGUUUGGCAGCAUUAGAAUCUAUCUGAAACAUGUUACUGGAGAAAUAAGCAACUGGGAAGACUUUCAACCUAACUUCUAGAAACCUGUUUUGGCCCAAACACUAUGCAACCAAGCUAUUACGGCUUGAAUGAUGCACAAAACCCACAACUCCGAGUCGUGCUAUUAAACCAUAUCAGUGCAAACCAGCUAGAGCAUGGGUGAUGCAAAAGCUCUAAGAGACCAUGCUGCUUUCAGACACAUGCCAAAGGUGAUCAUGGCUUAGAGUUAAUUACAUUUUCUCUCCAGGGUCGGUUUACUAGCAGACUACAAGGUAGCUCAGAGCGCUUAGCACGCUCUGACACUGUUAGAUACAAGGUUUAUUGAUUAAUAAUUACUCUGCAGGAGAAAUAACAGCUCAAUUUAGAAGUGGUGUUUCCAUUUAUUUUUGUUCUGUUACAUAAACUCCCCCAUUAGGUUUUACUGAAAAGGCACCCCUCUGCCGCAGCGUCUUUGUUUACAGAUCAGUUUGCCUGAAGAGCAGCAAUUGCAGGUUACUCCUCCCAACAGAUCUGAAGGAAAACAACACACUGAAGGACUUAAAAAACCUCAUGAAACCUGUAACAGGGUCCCCUAGCACUGACAGCCUAUAAGGGACUAAGACGUGGCACAGUCCCAGAAGCUUCACCCUCAGUCCAUGUCCUACCAUCUCCGGGCAUUACUUUUUUGUCAUUAUGUAGCACCAGAAACAGAGAGAAAACCAUGAAGACAUAUGUGUAAGAAAAGCUUCCUAUUUGUGUAGUUUAUGGAGCAUUAUGACAACCUUCAAAAUAGCUUAGCAACACAGGAAUUGCUUUGCAUACAACUGAUAAC